UGCGUGCGUGCGUGUGUGUGUGUGUGUGUGUGUGUGUGCGCACGCCACACUCCUGCAAAUGCCCCUCCCCACUCCC
rnacentral:pre_miRNA from 1 species